UAAAUAUCGAUUAUACUUUAAUGGCAUACUCUACUAAUGAGAGUAAAAGUAGUAUGAUACGUUAUAACAUAUUUACACUCAUGACAAUUGCUUAUGCUGUGUUGAAUGGAUUAAGGCUUUGAUGAAUUUGACAACAGUAGAGCAAGGGGGGCUCAAAUCAAGUGUUGCAGGGUUGCUAUUUUUACUUAAGCUGUUUGAAUUUACUGCGGGUGAUAUUGCUCCGGGCUUGUAGACUCCCUAUUCCAGAUUCUGGUA
rnacentral:misc_RNA from 1 species